CUUUUCUAGGGCCCUCCCAUGGCAUAUGGAGGUUCCCAGGCUAGGGGUCCAAUCGGAGCUGUAGCCGCCGGCCUACUCCAGAGCCAUAGCAAUGCAGGAUCCAGGGCUGCAACCUACACCACGGCUCAUGGCAAUGCUGGAUGCUUAACCCACUGAGCAAGGCCAGGAAUCGAACCCACAACCUCAUGGUUCCUAGUCAGAUUCGUUAACCACUGUGCCACGACGGGAACUCCUUUUUAUCCCAGUGUUUUUUAAGGCCCUCAUUCUGUUGCCUUUGAAUUCCCCCCACCCCCAACCAAACACGUGUAUGUACACACAGGUUUCUGUUUAAAAUCUAAAACAUUCUGGACUGGAAGUGAGACAAGAAAUACUUAUUAUUUAUUAACACAAUAUCAUUAUUAAUAAAAUCAUAUGUAGUAUAUAUAUAAUUAACACAAUGUUAAAUGAGAAUUAAUAAAGACAAGACUGAGGGAGCAUGGAGGUUUCAUGACUACCCUGCAGAUGCUCUUACUAGAUGGGUGAGCUUGGCCAGUCUGACUUCAUACACAAGUAUGAGCAUUAUACUUAGCCUAGUCCCAGUCAUUUAGGAGCUUAAAAAUAACUUGAUUUGACCUUAGACUUGAACAAAGUUCUAUUUUAUUUAUUUAUUUAUUUUUUUGGUCUUUCUGCCAUUCCUUUGGGCCGCUCCCGCGGCACACGGAGGUUCCCAGGCUAGGGGUCGAAUCGGAGCUGUAGCCACUGGCCUACGCCAGAGCCACAGCAACGCAGAAUCCGAGCCGUGUCUGCAACCUACACCACAGCUCACGGCAAUGCCGGAUCGUUAACCCACUGAGCAAGGGCAGGGACCGAACCCGCAACCUCAUGGUUCCUAGUCGGAUUCGUCAACCACAGCGCCACGACGGAAACUCCUAUUUUAUUUUUUUUUAAACAGUAUGUUAGAAGAGUUUAUCUAACAUGUUAGAAGAGUUCCAUCUUCAUUUCCGAGACAGGCCUGAAACUUCUCGUCUUUAAUACAAUGCCAUCAAAUUGCAUUCACUCAGCGCCAAUAAACAAGUACUGACUUUUAUCUAUUUUCUCUUCUGUGCCUUUCUUAUCAGAUGGAAGAAGUGCCUCCAUCUCCCACAUGCUCUUCAGAGACAGAAGAGCCAGGCGAGGAGUUUAGGCCCUGUCCCACUGGCAACAGGGAACCACGGAGGAUUUGAACAGAGGAGUGUCACAAAUUCUAGCCCCAGGUCUACCACUAAUUAACGAAACUUUUACUAGCAUUCCUCAGGAACUGCUCUUCUGAAAGAGAAUAUGGUACCAAGGACCUCCAAGACUCUCCAAGUGUCAACACCACCACAUCUCUACAGGAGUUUAUAGGUUUGUAUUUGAUGUCAGCGGUCUUAUAAGAAUAUCUUUGCCCACACUACAGCUGCCUCACAGCCUAGUUGUUCUCAAUCCUGACUUUUAAAAGGCCAACUCUGUUGCUCUUGACAAAAUCAAAGAGUAUAUUUAUAAAGGAAGAUUUUCACUUUUUUUUUUGUCUUACAAACAUAUUAAGCUGUGCACUUAACUUGGCAAGUCCUAUUGCUUAAAAAUGACUCACAAAAUUAGUACACACUUAACUUUGUCAGCUUGCUAAAUAUCUCAGAGACAGAAAACGAUUUCUUCCCUGCUAAAUUUAUGUGGCCAAGAUAAAAAGCUCCAAUGAUUUAGGUGGGUUAUUUCAAGAAAAAACAAAAUCAAAACUAUCAGUUGAAUGAAAGAGGCUUUUAAAGAAGUUAGGCUGUCCCUUAAACAGAGGAAAAAAUAAAGCAACAGGAUGGUUAUGGGCAAAUUCCCCAGUAAGCCAGUUAGUUUCUGUCUGUGUAAUGGUUAUAGAUGGAACCCAUAAUUUCAGCCAUUUCAAAAUACUUAGGUCGCACCCAAUAGGGAUGAAUCUAUGCAUAUAUGCAGGCAAUGCCACAAUACAGCUGGCACACCUUCACUGGCAUUCAGAAUCUCCAAGUGGCAAAACCACUAAGUGGAAGGAGCCCUAACCAAGCAGGACUGUGAGGUCACUGUUUCUCACCUCACCUCAAACUCUCACCAUCUUGAGCUAUUCACUUAGGCUUUCUGAGCUGGCUUCCCUAACUAUAAAUUAUUUGAUCCGAUUAUUUCUGACAACUGCUAAUAAUCAAAUUACAUAAGUGGGUUCAAAAGUGGCUGAAAAACUGAAUAGUGUGCUGCAAAAAUCUAAGGCAAGGAGAACUGACACUGAGGGAAACAUUCUAGGCUUCUAAAUCCAGACAUUUCCUGGUUAUCUGUGCAAAAUCAGGAGAGUCCCUCUAUUACAACUAGAUGUUCUGUUUUAAACACUGCAGGUGGAAGGGGGACAGAGAUGGCCUAGGUGGGAGAGGAAGACCAAUAGAAAACUCGUUGAUAAAAGCCUGGAAUAAAAUCCAAAUUCUUCAGUGCAGCAUGUAAGACCUUUGCCACCUAGGCCCCGCCACAUUUUCAGGCCCGUUUCUCUUUAGUCCCAGCAACACCCCACCAGACCGAGGGACUCUACGCAUGGUGCUACCUCCCAAUGGUCUUUUUUUUUUUCCCCUUCUCUUUUCUAGGGUCGCACCUGUGGCGUAUGGAAGUUCCCGGGCUAGGGGUCGAAUCAGAGCUGUAGUGGCCAGUCUACGCCAGAGCCACUGCAACACGGGAUCCAAGCCGCGUCUGCGACCUACACCACAGCUCACGGCAACGCCAGAUCUUUAAUCCCCUGAGAAAGGCCAGGGAUCGAACCCACAACCUCAUGGUUCCUAGUCGGAUUCGCUAACCACUGCGCCAUGACGGGAACUCCAGCUACCUCCCAAUGGAACCCCAAACACCCAUGCUCCAGGGCUGGCCCCCACCAGGGCCCACUGGCUAUGGUGGCCUCUUUCCAGUUCCCCAAUCACCUGGCCCCACCUUUACACCACUGUCUAGCUGUCUAGCUGUCACAUUUCUUUUCGUCCUUUGGUCCUUGAUCAAAGUGCAGUGACUUCUAAACAGAUUUCUCUGCUUCCCAUGGCUCUAAGGAACAAGCCUGUCCUCUUUCCUUCUGCUAUUAUCUUUACUUCCAUAAGAGGAGUUUUAAAAGUUCAAAUUCUGCUUCACUAACUGUAAGCUUCUAGAAAGGCGGAGGUCAUUUCCUAUCUUUGCAUCACCAUCCACAGCAAGAAUUAAUUCUUUCAACUUAACAUGGGCUUCAUUAAUGUUUGUGGAGUGAAUAAAAAUAAAAUGAUCUUAAUAUAUGGAUCUGGAAGACACUAGGCCCCAGAUAAUUCUGAAGUAAUCUUAACAUUUCCCAGGGUAAAGUCUGAAGAGGUAGAACUUUUUUUUUAAAUUUAUUUUAUUACAGUGUAGCUGAUUUACAAUGUUGUGUUAAUUGCUGUUGUAACUGCAAAGUGAUUCAGCUACACAUAUAUAUUUUUUUCAUAUUCUGUUCCAUUAUGAUUAUAGGAUACUGAAUACAGAUCCCUGUGCUAUACAGUAGGACCCUGUUGUUUAUUUAUUCCACAUUUAACAGUUUGCAUCUGCUAGUCUCAAAUUCUCAAUCCAACCCUCCCACACUCCUUCCUCCCCCUUGGCAACCACAAAUCUGUUCUCUAUGUCUGUGAGUCUGUUUCUGUUUUGUGUAAGUUCAUUUAUGUCAUAUUUUAGAUUCCACAUAUGAGUGAUAUCAUAUGGUACUUGUCUUUCUCCUUCUGACUUACUUCACAUAGUAUGAUAAUCUCUAGUUCCAUCCAUGCUGCUGCAAAUGGCAUUAUUUCAUUCUGCUUAGGUCUGAGUAACAUUCCAUUGUAUGUAUGUACCACAUCUUCUUUAUCCAUUCAUCUGUCGAUGGACACUGAGGUUGUUUCCAGGUCUUGGCUAUUGUGAAUAGCACCACUAUGAACACAGGAGCACAUAUAUCUUUUCAAAUUAUAGUUUUGUCUGGAUAUAGUUUUGUCUAGAAGUGGGAUUAUUGUAUUAUAUGGUAACUCCAGUUUUAGUUUUUUAAGAAACUUCCAAUCUGUUUUACAUAGUGGCUGCAUCAAUUUAUAUUCCUAUCAAUGGUGUAGAAGGGUUCCCUUUUCUCCACACCCUCUCCAGGAUUUGUUAUUUGUAGACUUUUGAAUGAUGGCCAUUCUGACUGGUAUGAGGUGGUACCUCACUGCAGGUUUGAUUUGCACUUCUCUAAUAAUUAGCGAUGAUAAGCGUCUUUUCCUGUACUUAUCAGCCAGUUGUAUGUCCUCUUUGGAGAAAUGUCUAUUUAGGUCUUCUGCCCAUUUUGUUGAUUGGGUUGUUUAUUUAUUUAUUUAUUUAUUUAUUUAUUUAUUUAUUUGAGUUGUAUGAGCUGUUUGAAUAUUUUGGAAACUAACCCCUUGUCAGUCACAUCAUUUGCAAAUAUUCUCUACCAGUCAGGAGGUUGUCUUUUUGUUUUAUUUAUGGUUUCCUUUGCAAAGGGUUAUAAGUUUGAUUAGGCCCCAUUUGUUUAUUUUUGCUUUCAUUUCUUUUGCCUUGGGAAACUGACUUAAGAAAACACUGGUAUAGUCAGUGAAUGUUUUGCCUAUGUUCUUGAAGAGGCAGAACUCUUAAUUCAGGACAGAGAAGGAAAAACUGUGUUUCUCAUAACCAAUGUUGCCAUGAACAAAGAGCUAGAAUUUAGAACAAGGUGGUAUCCUUCCCCCCAGGGGAAAAACAGCUCAGCUCCUGUCAUGUCCCCACCCAGACUGUGCACACCUAACUUUAGUGACUUGUUCUCCCUCGUGUACUGUGCCUUUGGGCCUACAGUCCUAUCUGUAUGGAAUAUACACAGGAGAAAAUGCCUGCUUAUCCUCAAGUCUUAGCUCAAGAGUGAAUCUGCCUCUUAAACCUCCCCUGAUCUCCUUGGGCAGACUUAGGAACACCCUUCUACCAGGGCUCAUGUCCAACCCCACCCCCAGGAACUUACAUCUCCACUUUAAUUCCUUAUCACAUUCCAAAAAUUACUUCUUUAAAUGCCCAGCCCAGAUAAAAAGGAUCUGGAGGAUAAGACUGGUUCUUUUUACUUU
ensembl:lncRNA